UACGCUGUAAACGAUGAUCACUCGUUGUUGGCGAUAUACUGCCAGCGACUGAACGAAAGCAAUAAGUGAUCCACCUGGGGAGUACGAUCGCAAGGUUGAAACUCAAAGGAAUUGACGGGGGCCCGCACAAGCGGAGGAGCAUGUGGUUUAAUUCGAUGAUACGCGAGGAACCUUACCUGGGCUCAAAUGCAGAACGACGUUUCGUGAAAGCGGAAUUCCCUUCGGGGCGUUUUGCAAGGUGCUGCAUGGUUGUCGUCAGCUCGUGCCGUGAGGUGUCGGGUUAAGUCCCAUAACGAGCGCAACCCCUAUUCUUAGUUGCCAUCAGGUAAUGCUGGGAACUCUAAGGAAACUGCCUACACAAGUAGU
rnacentral:rRNA from 1 species